UACGUAGGGUGCAAGCGUUAUCCGGAAUUAUUGGGCGUAAAGAGCUCGUAGGCGGUUUGUCGCGUCUGCUGUGAAAACUGGGGGCUCAACCCCCAGCCUGCAGUGGGUACGGGCAGACUAGAGUGCGGUAGGGGAGAUUGGAAUUCCUGGUGUAGCGGUGGAAUGCGCAGAUAUCAGGAGGAACACCGAUGGCGAAAGCAGAUCUCUGGGCCGUAACUGACGCUGAGGAGCGAAAGCAUGGGGAGCGAACAGG
rnacentral:rRNA from 1 species